AUGAACGCUGGCGGCGUGCCUAAUACAUGCAAGUCGAGCGAACAGACGAGGAGCUUGCUCCUCUGACGUUAGCGGCGGACGGGUGAGUAACACGUGGAUAACCUACCUAUAAGACUGGGAUAACUUCGGGAAACCGGAGCUAAUACCGGAUAAUAUAUUGAACCGCAUGGUUCAAUAGUGAAAGACGGUUUUGCUGUCACUUAUAGAUGGAUCCGCGCCGCAUUAGCUAGUUGGUAAGGUAACGGCUUACCAAGGCAACGAUGCGUAGCCGACCUGAGAGGGUGAUCGGCCACACUGGAACUGAGACACGGUCCAGCCUCCUACGGGAGGCAGCAGUAGGGAAUCUUCCGCAAUGGGCGAAAGCCUGACGGAGCAACGCCGCGUGAGUGAUGAAGGUCUUCGGAUCGUAAAACUCUGUUAUUAGGGAAGAACAAAUGUGUAAGUAACUAUGCACGUCUUGACGGUACCUAAUCAGAAAGCCACGGCUAACUACGUG
rnacentral:rRNA from 1 species